CUGGGGUGAAGUCGUAACAAGGUGGCCGUAUCGGAAGGUGCGGCUGGAUCACCUCCUUUCUAAGGAGAAUU
rnacentral:rRNA from 1 species